UACGGAGGGUGCAAGCGUUAGUCGGAAUUACUGGGCGUAAAGGGUGCGUAGGCGGGAAUGUAAGUCAGAUGUGAAAUACUGAAGCUCAACUUCAGACCUGCAUCUGAAACUGCGUUUCUAGAGGAAGAGCGGAGAAAACGGAAUUCCAUGUGUAGCGGUGAAAUGCGUAGAUAUAUGGAAGAACACCUGUGGCGAAAGCGGUUUUCUAGCUUACUCCUGACGCUGAGGCACGAAAGCAAGGGGAUCAAACAGG
rnacentral:rRNA from 1 species